CGAAGCGUGCUGUUGGAGUGCACGUCCAAGCAGUGAGAUUGAGUGUUAGGCAAAUCCGGCACUCUUAAGAUUGAGCUGUGAUGGGGAGAGGAACUUGUUCCUCGAGUCGUUGAUUUCACACUGCCGAGAAAAGCCUCUAGCUAGAAUAACGGUGCCCGUACCGCAAACCGACACAGGUAGUCAAGAUGAGAAUUCUAAGGUGAGCGAGCGAACUCUCGUUAAGGAACUCGGCAAAAUGACCCCGUAACUUCGGGAGAAGGGGUGCUCUUUGAGGUUCACGCUUCGAAGAGCCGCAGUGAAUAGGCCCAAGCGACUGUUUAUCAAAAACACAGGUCUCUGCUAAACCGUAAGGUGACGUAUAGGGGCUGACGCCUGCCCGGUGCUGGAAGGUUAAGAGGAGUGGUUAGCGCAAGCGAAGCUACGAAUCGAAGCCCCAGUAAACGGCGGCCGUAACUAUAACGGUCCUAAGGUAGCGAAAUUCCUUGUCGGGUAAGUUCCGACCCGCACGAAAGGCGUAACGAUUUGGGCACUGUCUCAACGAGAGACUCGGUGAAAUCAUAGUACCGGUGAAGAUGCCGGUUACCCGCGACAGGACGGAAAGACCCCGUGGAGCUUUACUGUAGCCUGAUAUUGAAAUUCGGUACAGUUUGUACAGGAUAGGUAGGAGCCUUAGAAGCGUGAGCGCUAGCUUACGUGGAGGCAUUGGUGGGAUACUACCCUAAUUGUAUUGGAUUUCUAACCCGCAGCACUUAUCGUGCUGGGAGACAGUGUCAGGCGGGCAGUUUGACUGGGGCGGUCGCCUCCUAAAGAGUAACGGAGGCGCUCAAAGGUUCCCUCAGAAUGGUUGGAAAUCAUUCAUAGAGUGUAAAGGCAUAAGGGAGCUUGACUGCGAGACCUACAAGUCGAGCAGGGUCGAAAGACGGACUUAGUGAUCCGGUGGUUCCGCAUGGAAGGGCCAUCGCUCAACGGAUAAAAGCUACCCCGGGGAUAACAGGCUUAUCUCCCCCAAGAGUUCACAUCGACGGGGAGGUUUGGCACCUCGAUGUCGGCUCAUCGCAUCCUGGGGCUGUAGUCGGUCCCAAGGGUUGGGCUGUUCGCCCAUUAAAGCGGUACGCGAGCUGGGUUCAGAACGUCGUGAGACAGUUCGGUCCCUAUCCGUCGUGGGCGUAGGAAAUUUGAGAGGAGCUGUCCUUAGUACGAGAGGACCGGGAUGGACAUACCUCUGGUGUACCAGUUGUCGUGCCAACGGCAUAGCUGGGUAGCUAUGUAUGGACGGGAUAAGUGCUGAAAGCAUCUAAGCAUGAAGCCCCCCUCGAGAUGAGAUUUCCCAACUUCGGUUAUAAGAUCCCUCAAAGAUGAUGAGGUGAAUAGGUUCGAGGUGGAAGCGUAGCGAUACGUGGAGCUGACGAAUACU
rnacentral:rRNA from 1 species